GCAUUAAUGGGGUAGUGGUAACCUGGGUCGUUGCCACAAUGGGUGUCUAUAUUAGAUAUCGACCCGCCGGGGGUUCGAUUCCCUCUUAAUGCA